rnacentral:lncRNA from 1 species
AAUCUUUAGAACAAACCUUUCCAUAAGGUAAUCAUCAGUGUGGUUAUUUGAGGCUGACCAACAACAUUCAGUUGUGUCAGGUGCAGCAUUAAAGGUGUGAUUUCAGGUGUGAGGUAGCAGCUGUGGUUGUGUAGAUCUGAUUUCAGUCAUAUAAACAGGCAGUAGCUAGUAACCAGCAGAGCUGAGUGGUUGCAGUGUUUUCUCCUUGUAAGUCUGCCUUGAAGAGUCCAGCACUAAGAACUUUAACUGGACCCUGAAGAUCAGCCCUGACCAUGCUGAGAUUUGGGCAGCACCUGAUCAAGCCCUCGGUGGUGUUCCUGAGGACAGAGCUGAGCUUUGCUCUGGUGAACCGCAGGCCGGUGCUGCCAGGCCGUAUCCUUGCCAUGCUGCUGCUCCCUGGGAAGGGCAGGACAAGCUCAGGACGCUUGGAAGGCCAGUGCUUUCAUACAGAAGUUCAUUAUUCACUUGAAGAACAAGUUCAACAACAUGAAAGCGCCUCUGUCCCUUCCUGCUGCUUCCAAAGAGAGCUUCUGGUGUGAUUAUUCCAAAUAUAUUCGGCCUCUGACCUCAGAGUAAGAUUGACAUGGCUCUUCAUAUUGUCAAGAACCUUCUUGUAUGGCUGUGGGGAAGGUGAGAAGUUAUCAGCAUGUAGUUUCAGCUCUGUCUUUCAGGUAAUAAAGGCUAACAUGCUGCCCUGGUAGUGUUUCA